GAUGAACGCUGGCGGCGUGCCUAAUACAUGCAAGUCGAGCGAACAGACGAGAGUGCUUGCACUCUCUGACGUUAGCGGCGGACGGGUGAGUAACACGUGGGUAACCUACCUAUAAGACUGGGAUAACUUCGGGAAACCGGAGCUAAUACCGGAUAAUAUUUAGCUUCGCAUGAAGCAAUAGUGAAAGACGGUUCUGCUGUCACUUAUAGAUGGACCCGCGGUGUAUUAGCUAGUUGGUGAGGUAACGGCUCACCAAGGCAACGAUACAUAGCCGACCUGAGAGGGUGAUCGGCCACACUGGGACGGAGACACGGCCCAGACUCCUACGGGAGGCAGCAGUAGGGAAUCUUCCGCAAUGGACGGAAGUCUGACGGAGCAAUGCCGCGUGAGUGAAGAAGGUUUUCGGAUCGUAAAACUCUGUUGUAAGGGAAGAACAAGUACGUUAGUAACUGAACGUACCUUGACGGUACCUUACCAGAAAGCCACGGCUAACUACGU
rnacentral:rRNA from 1 species